GGGAGAUCUGACAAUCUCCCCGCAGAAUCCACUCUCAUCUCAAAUCGAACCCGGGGGUUGUGAGGCCUCGGGCACUCGCCACCCUCGCAGAAAUGGAUCGUUUCUUCCGAUACAGCCGCCGAGAUCUUCAGCCGUGCGGUGUGAAGAGGAGGGGGAGACGGGGCCGGAUCUUACCGCUGGAGGACCUGGGGCAGGUCGUGCAGCCCCGGAGGAUCGCCGUCCCUCGUCAGGCGCUGGAUCUGCGAGCUGAGGGCGUCCAGACGCAGGGCCAGCCUCCGCACGCCGUGACGGGAGUUGUCUGCAAUCCCAAAGGCUUGUGGCUUGAAUUGCCAUUUUUUCCCCCGCUGCCUGAGCCAAAGACAGGGUCAGAUAGACCCUUCAAAGCUGACUGGCAAGAAAGGAUGGGAGAAAGUGUGUUUGAGGUCCACCUGCUGACGCCCACAAUAAUGGGCUUCAGAUCAGAUGGCAAUGCGACUUGAUAGUCUUCCCUGCCAGCAUAAGGGAACCAGUUAAGAAACUUUCCUUUCCUCCAGAAAUGUUUAUGGGGAAUUUCAAACCUGAAAGGUUGCACAAGUUUUAGAAACAGUGCAUGAUAUACAUGAAAGAAUAUUUCAUAAUGUAAUGAAAUAUUAAGGGAAUGUAGACACAUAAACAUUUGGUUAUAUUCACAAUCAAAUGGAUGUGUUCCUUCAACGUGUUUGCAUGUGGGAUUGCUCUGCAACCACAUAGUUUUCAAGUGGCUCUUCUGUGAAAUUUUUCCUGGAUGGGCAAGCUAAACCUAAAAAAAACAGGCAAAUGGAAAUGAUUUUUUAACUUCUAAUCUUAACUUCUUCUAAAAACACCUAGGGGUACCAAUAAAUAGAGAUUUUUAGGACCAGUGUAAACGGGAAACGUUUACAGAAUCACAGAAUCAAUUAGCCGCCUUUCGCACAAUGAGGGCGUAACUGAGGUUGCCUCGUGGCGAAACAAGACCGUGCCGGCUCGUAUUUCACAAUCCCGAAAAUCAAAAGAAAUGAAUUAGCAAGGAAGAGCCAAAAUAAGCCAGUGAGGGCUGCCACGCGCCAGCAGGAGCGAGGUGUAACUGAAAGGCGAUCCUGAUUCAAGAGCUGUAAAUCGGCUGCGAUCAAGGCAGAGACCGGGAACCCAGCACUUGGGAAGGCAUUGUGUUUGCGGUGAGGCCAAGUUCCAGAGCCACCGGCGCACAAGCACACAAGCACAACGUGAUCUGUUUGCAUGCCCAAACUCAGCGUGGUGAUGUCACCCCCCUUUCCCCGAGCUCGCGGCAGAGCCGGAGAUAUUGGAAAGAACCCCUGCCGUUGCUUGUGAUUCCCUGUGCUGAGGAUAGGACAGACUGGCACGUAUCUCCCUGUGUGCUGGGAAUAUCUGGUGCUCCUGGCGACGGGUUUGCCCGUUUCAUCUGGUCUCGUUGGCAUCUCUGACCCAGCUCCUGGAGAGCCCCCAGUCAAUCGGAUUUUAUUGGACACCGUAAAAUUGCUAAAUUCCUGGAAAACAAAUGUACUGGGAAUCAGUUGCAGGUGGUUUAUUAAGUAAUUUCCUGAUCAUUUGGAAUGAAAAUCUUCGGCCCUGAAAGACCUCUUAGUGCUUCAGUGAUCAAAAGCAGACAGGUAUUGCCAAUCUUUUCAAAUGAGUGAUUCGGAAAACAUAGCGGAUUGGAACUCUCCAGUACCGGGGUUGCAGACCCUAACUUUGCUUACAACCGCUACUUUGUGAUCACCCCCAGCUUGAUCUCAACCUGACUACGAGGAGGAUUUUACAGGCUAAGUCAACAGAAGCCAGAAAAACAAUCCUGCUGGUUCCAGCACAGACUGCUCUGCCGCUCGAGAUCCGCCUGCUGGACGUUAUACGCCUGAUGCGGAGCAUCAUCGCAUCCUGGGUAUGGUGCUCUGCAGCUGCUCAGACUGCAACUCAAGCUGCUCUACCUCCAUGAUUAUUUGUGAGUGUAAAUCUUGAGAUCUGACAGCCAGCGUCCUAUCCAGAGCUGUCAAAUACUCAGCCUGUAAUAACUUAUUGUUUCCUUCGUGAUCUGUCCCUCCCUGCUCCCUCAUGCCUCUUCUCACUCAGCACGAAGUCUCGCAGACCCCAGCCUGACCACUGUCCAGCCCUUUUCCCUUUGCCCUCGUUAACACAGCAGCCAUCUAAUUACCUCAUCCCAUCCGGUCGUGUUUAUCCAGCUGGAGCAGCAGGUUUGAUUUUCUCAGCCAAGGGAUUGUGCCAACAAGCAAAUAGCAUUUUUUUUUUUUUUAAAGGAGUAUUAAAAGAGGUUUAUGUUAAGCCAGGGAACAAUAAGGAAAUGAAGGGGAAUUUUGUUUCCGCUGUUAUUUCACCAGGAGCUGGUUCUGGGGGCUGCGUGUCAGUCUGGGCAGCUCGGUGACUCACCCCCUGGUACAGGUGGCGGAGGCUGUGCGCCAGACCUGCUCCCCUGCCACAACCCUCCCCUCCCGCCACGCACACACACUGCCCCUUUUCAUCUGACCCCUGACCUCUGAACACCCAACCUUCAACCUUUUCAAAUGAAAGCACAGAUUGAAGUUUAUCCCAGUUCCACACUUCAUACAAUGGCAGCCAAAUGUUGAUCUGAUCUGAUCUGAUAUCCAAAGACAUACUGGUAGGUUAGAUGGCUUCUAGUAAACUGUCCCUGGUGUGAGUGUGUGUACUGUCUGUGCCUCACAAUUGACUGGCUGGCUUCCCCUCAAGGAUGUACCCUGCCUUGUGCCCGUUUCUUGCCAAGAUAGGCAGCCCGGGACCCUGAAUUGGAUGGUGCUGUUAGAAAAUGGAUGAAUGGAUAAUAUAUUGAUAACAAAAUAUUUCCUCAUA
rnacentral:lncRNA from 1 species